GGGGAUUUAGCUCAGUGGUAGAGCGCUUGCCUAGCAAGCACAAGGUUCUGCAUUCAGUCCUCA
rnacentral:tRNA from 1 species